GGGGGAUAUUGCACAAUGGGGGAAACCCUGAUGCAGCGAUGCCGCGUGGAGGAAGAAGGUUUUCGGAUUGUAAACUCCUGUCGUAAGGGAAGAGGAAGGACUGUACCUUACAAGAAAGCUCCGGCUAACUACGUGCCAGCAGCCGCGGUAAUACGUAGGGAGCGAGCGUUGUCCGGAAUGACUGGGUGUAAAGGGAGCGCAGGCGGGACUGCAAGUUGGAUGUGAAAUACCGUGGCUUAACCACGGAACUGCAUCCAAAACUGUAGUUCUUGAGUGAAGUAGAGGCAAGCGGAAUUCCGAGUGUAGCGGUGAAAUGCGUAGAUAUUCGGAGGAACACCAGUGGCGAAGGCGGCUUGCUGGGCUUUAACUGACGCUGAGGCUCGAAAGUGUGGGGAGCAAACAGGAUUAGAUACCCUGGUAGUCCACACUGUAAACGAUGAUAGCUAGGUGUGGGGGGUCUGACCCCUUCCGUGCCGGAGUUAACGCAAUAAGCUAUCCACCUGGGGAGUACGACCGCAAGGUUGAAACUCAAAGGAAUUGACGGGGACCCGCACAAGCGGUGGAGCAUGUGGUUUAAUUCGAAGCAACGCGAAGAACCUUACCUGAUCUUGACAUCCCGAUGACCGCUUCGUAAUGGAAGCUUUUCUUCGGAACAUCGGUGACAGGUGGUGCAUGGUUGUCGUCAGCUCGUGUCGUGAGAUGUUGGGUUAAGUCCCGCAACGAGCGCAACCCUUAUCUUCAGUAGCCAGCAGUAAGAUGGGCACUCUGGAGAGACUGCCGGGGAUAACCCGGAGGAAGGCGGGGAUGACGUCAAAUCAUCAUGCCCCUUAUGACCAGGGCUACACACGUGCUACAAUGGCGUAAACAAAGGGAAGCGAAACCGUGAGGUCAGGCAAAUCCCAGAAAUAACGUCUCAGUUCGGAUUGUAGUCUGCAACUCGACUACAUGAAGCUGGAAUCGCUAGUAAUCGCGAAUCAGAAUGUCGCGGUGAAUACGUUCCCG
rnacentral:rRNA from 1 species